UGAAAAAUGUCCGAUGCAGCCCUUACACCUAACACCAUGUGAGGAUUGUCAUCGUACAUGUCGAUCCUUCUACUGCUAUGAAAAACACAACAUUUAAACAUGGCACCCCAAGGCAUGUAAAUCUGUAAGCAGUUGUGACAUUAACAAGAAAUGUCCAAAAUGCCAUUGUAAUUACAACCUUAAAAUAGACAACCCCCAACCUCACAUAUGUCGGAUGAUAAUCUGCACGAUCUGUAAAGGUAUGUGGUAUCCUACACUGCCCUGUCUGUAAAGGUAUGUGGUAUCCUACACUGCCCUGUCUGUAAAGGUAUGUGGUAUCCUAAACUGCCCUGUCUGUAAAGGUAUGUGGUAUCCUAAACUGCCCUGUCUGUAAAGGUAUGUGGUAUCCUAAACUGUCCUGUCUGUAAAGGUAUGUGGUAUCCUAAACUGCCCUGUCUGUAAAGGGCCUUUGAAAAGCAGAGACCCUGAAGUGGUUCAAGAAGUGGAACAUGAGUGUUAUAUUCAGCCAUUGGCUGAAGAUGAACAUUCAGAGAAAUAUGUAUUUUAUGACUUUGAGAGUAAUCAACAGUCAGGGGUUCAUCUGCCUAUAUGUCACUUCUUUCCUAGAUAUUGGACGAAGGCGCAGCAGGUUGAGUGCUCAUAUUUACUUUUAUUGAACAGUAAAACAACAAAACGUACGAACGAACGAACAGGAUGCAGGCUAAACACAAAGCUAUGCAACUACAACUACCCCCAAAUACCCCAUACAAAACAACCCCUAUACAUAGGACCUUCAAUCAGAGGCAACGAGGAACAGCUGCCUCCAAUUGAAGGUCAAAUCAAUAAACUGAACAUAGACGUAAACAACCUAGAACUAACAUAGAAUGCACUAACCUAGAACCUAAACCUAAAACCCCGGUACACUCUAAACCAACACCCCUCUACAUAAACACAUAGCCCAACAAACCCCUAAACACUCUAAACAAAUACCCCCUGCCACGUCCUGACUAAACAUCAAUAACAAAUAAGCCCUUUACUGGUCAGGACGUGACACUAUAUUUGUAUCUACCAUGAUUUUCAAGGGUGAAAGGUGGUUGGCAAAGAGCCUCAAUUGUGCCCUACUCUUUCUAAAACAUUCCUUAACCUCUUAGGGCUAGGGGGCAGUAUUUACACUGCCGGAUAAAAAACGUCCCCGAUUCUGAUUACUACUCCUACCCAGUUACUAGAAUAUGCAUAUACUUAUUAGAUAUGGAUAGAAAACACCCUAAAGUUUCUAAAACUGUUUGAAUGGUGUCUGUGAGUAUAACAGAACUCAUAUGGCAGGCAAAAACCUGAGAGAUUCCUUUACAGGAAGUGACCUGUCUG
rnacentral:lncRNA from 1 species